rnacentral:rRNA from 1 species
UACGGAGGGUGCAAGCGUUAUCCGGAUUCACUGGGUUUAAAGGGUGUGUAGGCGGGUAUUUAAGUCAGUGGUGAAAUCUCCGAGCUUAACUUGGAAACUGCCAUUGAUACUAUUUAUCUUGAAUUCUGUUGAGGUGGGCGGAAUAUGUCAUGUAGCGGUGAAAUGCAUAGAUAUGACAUAGAACACCGAUUGCGAAGGCAGCUCACUAAGCAGACAUUGACGCUGAGGCACGAAAGCGUGGGGAUCAAAC